GUCUACAGCCACACCACCCUGAACGCACCCCAUCUCGUCUGAUCUCAGAAGCUAAUCAGGGUCGGGCCUGGUUCGUACUUCGAUGAGAGAAAUGGCUAGGGUUAAGUUUUCC
rnacentral:rRNA from 1 species